CAAUAGCGUAUAUUAAAAUUGUUGCGGUUAAAAAAGCUCGUAGUUGGAUAUCUGCUGAGGGGUUUCGGUACUUCCCAGUGAAGAUUACACGGAACUCUUCUUGGCAUUUGUUCAGGGAAAGUUUCUGCACUUGAUUGUGUGGGACAGGAACUGAAUUUUUACUUUGAGGAAAUGAGAGUGUUUCAAGCAGGCAUUUGCCGUGAAUAUGAUAGCAUGGAAUAAUAGCACAGGACCCCGUUCCAAGCUGUUGGUUUUUGAGACGAGGUAAUAAUAAUAAGGAUAGUUGGGGGCAUUUGUAUUUCAAUGUCAGAGGUGAAAUUCUUGGAUUAUUGAAAGACAAACUAUUGCGAAGGCAUCUGCCAAGGAUGUUUUUAUUGAUCAAGAACGAAAGUUAGGGGAUCGAAGACGAUCAGAU
rnacentral:rRNA from 1 species